rnacentral:rRNA from 1 species
GCGUGACAUUAGUUAGUUGGUGAGGUAACGGCUCACCAAGACUACGAUGUCUAGGGGUUCUGAGAGGAUGAUCCCCCACACUGGUACUGAGACACGGACCAGACUCCUACGGGAGGCAGCAGUGAGGAAUAUUGGUCAAUGGGCGCAAGCCUGAACCAGCCAUCCCGCGUGCAGGAUGACGGCCCUAUGGGUUGUAAACUGCUUUUAUACACCAAGAAAAAUCCCCACGUGUGGGGACCCGACGGUAGUGUAUGAAUAAGCAUCGGCUAACUCCGUGCCAGCAGCCGCGGUAAUACGGAGGAUGCGAGCGUUAUCCGGAUUCAUUGGGUUUAAAGGGUGCGUAGGCGGCUUUUUAAGUCAGUGGUGAAAUCCUGCCGCUUAACGGUAGAAUUGCCAUUGAUACUGAAGAGCUUGAGUACAAUUGAGGUAAGCGGAAUGUGUAGUGUAGCGGUGAAAUGCUUAGAUAUUACACAGAACACCGAUUGCGAAGGCAGCUUACUAAACUGUCACUGACGCUGAUGCACGAAAGCGUGGGGAGCGAACAGGAUUAGAUACCCUGGUAGUCCACGCCGUAAACGAUGAUCACUCGCUGUAUGCGAUACACAGUAUGCGGCCCAAGCGAAAGCAUUAA